UCAGUCGACGGUUAUUACGACUGA
rnacentral:snRNA from 1 species